UACGUAGGGGGCAAGCGUUGUCCGGAAUUAUUGGGCGUAAAGAGCGCGUAGGCGGUCUGAUAAGUCGGUUGUGAAAGUCGGGGGCUCAACCCUCGGAUGCCGAUCGAUACUGUCAGGCUAGAGUCCGGAAGAGGCGAGUGGAAUUCCUGGUGUAGCGGUGAAAUGCGCAGAUAUCAGGAGGAACACCAAUGGCGAAGGCAGCUCGCUGGGACGGUACUGACGCUGAGGCGCGAAAGCCAGGGGAGCGAACGGG
rnacentral:rRNA from 1 species